rnacentral:lncRNA from 1 species
UCAUUCAUGCUAGAAUCGAGUUCCCACAUCGCCUUUUCUUGAUCAUAGUGCUUCCAAAGAACUAUUACUAAGGGUAUCGACUUAUUCCUUAGUACUUUAACUUUCCGAUCUAGAAUAGAUUCGGGUCUCUCCUCAUAUCAAUUGGAUUCCUAAUUCCAAUUUAUAUACACGAGAUUUACUUGAGAAUAAGUUCCCUCGUCCUUUUUCGGCGGUUCAUUUUGCUCCUACCUCAUUCCUAGGGCUCAUCUACGGGGUAUUCUUUUUUCCAAAGACUAAAAUAGUCAUCAACCCAUUUCUUGUUACCUAUCACAUGAAUAACACUUUCCUAUGAAUUUAUCUUAAAACUAUCAUAGACCAAUUAACUUAAGUCCUCGUACUCGAACACUAUAUUACGGUCUUAGCUUGAACUCUGAAUUUCUAUCAUAAUGAGUGGUCGAUAUCAUUUAUAGGACAAAGACUAAUAAUCUCAACUAAUUACAAUGAGACACAAUUAUACGAAGCCAUAAUUUGGGUAGUAUACUACAUCGGUAGACUAACACUUCUUGGUCUUAUCAAACAAGGGAAUCUAUUAUGACAACUCACGAGUUGCAAGGCUCAAACUCAACACAACAUCAAAGCAAGGUGUUGUAGAAAUUGUUCAAGAGAAUCAAAAGAAUGACCAGAGGGUAUGAAAUGAUUAACUACUAGGUCGAACAAAAUGACCUCGAGUAUGAACCCAUCUGGCUUUUCAACCGAAAGUUGAAACACAUGGGUUUUCAACCCAAAAGACGUCUACUGAGAUUUGGAUCAUGUGGACUGGCCAGGUCCAAC